UGGGGAAUAUUGCACAAUGGGCGAAAGCCUGAUGCAGCAACGCCGCGUGAAGGAAGAAGGUCUUCGGAUUGUAAACUUCUAUCAGUAGGGAAGAAAAAAUGACGGUACCUAACUAAGAAGCUCCGGCUAACUACGUGCCAGCAGCCGCGGUAAUACGUAGGGAGCAAGCGUUAUCCGGAUUUACUGGGUGUAAAGGGUGCGUAGGCGGCCAUCUAAGUCUAAAGUGAAAUUUCGGGGCUCAACCCCGGAGCUGCUUUGGAAACUGGGAGGCUAGAGUAUAGGAGAGG
rnacentral:rRNA from 1 species